rnacentral:rRNA from 1 species
CCUGGUUGAUCCUGCCAUUAGCAUAUGCGUGUCUCAAAGAUUAAGCCAGGCACGUUUAAGUACACACGACCGGUACAGUGAAACUGCAAAUGGCUCAUUAAAUCAGUUAUGGUUCCUUUGAUCGCUCCAUCUGUUACUUGGAUAACUGUGGUAAUUCUAGAACUAAUACAUGCCAAUGAGCGCAGACCUCCCGGGAUGCGUGAAUUUAUCAGACUAAGACCAAUCUGGGCAACAUCCGGCCGCUUUGGUGACUCUAGAUAACCUCGACGAUUGCACGUCCGGUGACAGUGACGAUGUAUUCGGAUGUCUGCCCUAUCAACUUUUGAUGGUACUUUCUGUGCCUAUUUGUAUUUGUAUUUAUUUUAUUUAUAACGCGCAAACCAUCAGGCCCGGAGGCACCAGGGCGCAAUUUGUACAAGGUUACAGAUAUGCAACGACGUGCAUGAUGGUAGUCCUGUUUACCUGAGUAAGAGUGAAGAGCUAGGAGGCACAACCAUGGUGACCAUGGGUAAUGGAGAAUCAGGGUUCGAUUCCGGAGAGGGAGCCUGCGAAAUGGCUACCACAUCAAGGAAGGCAGCAGGCUCCCAAAUUACCCACUCUCGACUCUGAGAGGUAGUGACGAAAAAUAUUCCAAUUACAGUGCCUCGAAUGAGUCCUGUAUUGUUGAGUACACUUUAAAUCUUUUAACGAGUACCAAUUGGAGGGCAAGUCUGAUGCCAGCAGCCGUGGUAAUACCAGCUCCAAUAGCUAUAUUAUAGUUGCUGCAGUUAAAAGGCUUGUAGUUGGUUCUUGGGAUGGAGCUGGCUCUUGGCGCCCCUUGAUGCUCUUGACUGAGUGUCCUGGGGGUCUGAAGCAUUUACUUUGAAAAAAGUAGUGUGUUCAAAGCAGGCUGGUCGCCUGAAUAAUUCAGCUAGGAAUAAUGGAAUAGGACUCUGGUUCUUUUUUGUUUUUCGGAAACUGGGGCCAUGAUUAAGAGGGACGGCCAGGGACAUUUGUAUUGUGCACUAGAGGUGAAAUUCUUGGACUGGUGAAAAACAAACCAAAGUGAAAGCAUUAGCCAAUAAUGUUUUCAUUAAUCAAGAACGAACGUCUGAGGUUCAAAGAUGAUCCGAUACCGUCGUAGUUCCGACCAUAAACUAUGCCGAUUAGCAAUCUGGCGGCGUUAUUCCCAUGACCUGCCGAGCCACUUCCGGGAAAUCAAAGUCUUUGCGUUCCGGGGGGAGGGGGGUGGAGUAUGGUUGCAAAGCUGAAACUUAAAGGAAUUGAUGGAAGGGCAAAACCAGGAGUGGAGCCUGCGGCAUAACGUGACUCAACACGGGAAACCUCACCCGGCCCAGACACAGAAAAGAUUGCCAGAUUGAUAGCUCUUUCUCGAUUCUGUGGGUGGUGGUGCAUGGCCGUUCUUAGUUGGUGGAUCGAUUUGUCUAUUUAAUUCCAAUAACGACAGAGACUCCUCCAUGCUAGCUAAUUAUUUCCCAUGAACGAGGAAUUCCCAUUAAGUGCAGGUCAUAAGCUUGCAUUGAUUAAGUCCCUACCCUUUGUACACAUCGCCCGUCGCUACUACUGAUUGGAUGGUUUAGUAAGGUCCUUGGAUCGGCCCCGCCAGCAAUGCCCCUGGUGGAUCGGUUAGAAGAUGAUCAAACUUGACUAGAGGAAGUAAAAGUCGUACGGGUUGGGUUAACCUGCUCGGGACUUCCCC